UUAUUUAUUUAUUUAUUUGGAUUAUUUUUUUGUUUUUAUUUUAUUUUAUUUUGGUGUUUUUCUUUUUCUUUUUGUUUCUUUUUCCUUUUCUUUUCUUUAUCUUUUUCUUUGUUUUCUUGCUGUUGUUUUUCUUUUUUGAUGUUCUUUUAUUUCAUAUCAUCCUCUUGUUGAUGUUCAUUGGUCUGGGUGAGCCGCUUUCCUCCCAGAAGAGACCCACCCAUAAUUUUGGUGAUGUUAGUUAGGGGCCGAAAGGUGGAUGAUGUUUCUUAUAUUUUUCUUCUCUUGAUGUGUUUUCUUCUUGUUUUUCUUUUCCGAUGUUUUUUUCUGUUCUUUUUCUUCUUAUUUCUUUUCUUCGUGUUUUUUAAUGUUCUUUUAUUUCAUAUCAUCCUCUUGUUGAUGUUCUUCGUUGGUCUGGGUGAGCCUCUUUCUCCCCAGAAAAGACCCACCCAUAAUUUUGGUGAUGUUAGUUUGGGGCCGAAUGGUGGAUGAUGUUUCUUUGUAUGUUACUUUUCUUGAUGUUGUUCUGUUAUUGUUGUUACUUUUCUUUUGCGAUGUUUUUCUCUCUUUUUCCCAUUUUUUUGGUGUUCCUUUCUAUAUCAUCCCUUUUUGAUGUUCUUUGGUCUGGAUGAGCCUCUUUCUCCCCAGAAAAGACUCAUCCAUAAUUUUGGAGAUGUUAGGGCCUGAAGGUGGAUGAUCUGUGUUUUUUAUUUUAUUUUCUUGAUGUUUUGUUACUAUAUUUUCCUUUUUCUGGUGUUCCUUUUUAUUUUCCUUUUCUUUGGUGUUCCCAUCACGUGGAUUGUCUACGACAUCUAACGAGCUCCACCUGCCCGGGUUUAUUGUUCGGAGUUUGCUCUCCUAGGCAGACUGCCUACCACGGCUGACGAGCUCCACCUGCCCGGGUUUAUUGUUCGGAGUUUGCUCUCCUAGGUGUAUUACCUAUGACGGCUCACGAGCCCAACCUGCCCGGGUUUAUUGUUCGGAGUUUGCUCUCCUAGGUGAAUUGCCUACCACGGCUAACGAACCUCACCUGCCCGGGUUUGUAAUCGGAGUUUGCUCUCCUAGGUGAACUGCUUUCGCUAACGACCUCCACCUGCCCGGGUUUGUAAUCGGAGUUUGCUCUCCUAGGUGAACUGCUUUCGCUAACGACCUCCACCUGCCCGGGUUUGUAAUCGGAGUUUGCUCUCCUAGGUGAACUGCUUUCGCUAACGACCUCCACCUGCCCGGGUUUGUAAUCGGAGUUUGCUCUCCUAGGUGAACUGCUUUCGCUAACGACCUCCACCUGCCCGGGUUUAUUGUUCGGAGUUUGCUCUCCUAGGUGUAUUACCUAUGACGGCUCACGAGCCCAACCUGCCCGGGUUUAUUGUUCGGAGUUUGCUCUCCUAGGUGUAUUACCUAUGACGGCUCACGAGCCCAACCUGCCCGGGUUUAUUGUUCGGAGUUUGCUCUCCUAGGUGUAUUACCUAUGACGGCUCACGAGCCCAACCUGCCCGGGUUUAUUGUUCGGAGUUUGCUCUCCUAGGUGAAUUGCCUACCACGGCUAACGAACCUCACCUGCCCGGGUUUGUUGUUCGGAGUUUGCUCUCCUAGGCAGAUUGCCUACCACGGCUAACGAGCCCCACCUGCCCGGGUUUGUUGUUCGGAGUUUGCUCUCCUAGGUGAAUUGCCUACCACGGCUAACGAACCUCACCUGCCCGGGUUUGUUGUUCGGAGUUUGCUCUCCUAGGCAGAUUGCCUACCACGGCUAACGAGCCCCACCUGCCCGGCGUUGUAGCCGAAAGAUCUCCGGCACCUCCGUCGGGGUCCCGAUGGACGCCGAGGCGCCCUGCCGGGAGCCCUCCAGUCCUGCCAUGCUCGCCUGGGAGACCUUGGGCUCGCUGGCGCUCCACCGCCCCGCCGAUUCGAAUAGGGCGGAUGCAAGAACUCGCUUCUUAAAACUACCAGACUGGAUUAUAAAAUUAAUCAUUAAUGCCGUGAAGGCGCCGGUCACCGCGUUUAUCGGUUCUUGGAUGAAGGACCGAUGGGCCUCGGGGACGCGCACAAGCAUCAUAAGGAAUCCUCGCCGCGGCUUCCGGCGCAGCAUCCUUUUCCCUUUUCUUUCUUACUUCCAAUUUUUCUUUUUAAUUAUAUUUUCUUUCUCUGAUUGACUGAUUGAUUGAUUUUACAUAGUAAGAAUUGGUUCACCAAUUAACGUCUUUCAGGUACAUUGCAUUCACACACCUGCUGAGGGAGAACACCAGUGAGCGUGUUGACUCACGAGGACGGCCCACUAAAGUUUCCUAACAUUUGUAUUGGGCUGCCACUUCUCUUUAGUCGUCUGU